GUGACCCCUGUUCCAAUCAGCUGGAGAUCAUUGAUGCCAAGUCAGCUCGGCCAUCAACCACGGCGUGCCUCGGAAACCAGCGACAGAGUUUGAUUUAGGCCAUGUUUAGUUACUCCCAACUCCCAACUUUGACACUAUGCAAAAAGAAGAUUCCCCAUCACAUCAAAUUUGCGGUACAUGCAUGGAGUACUAAAUGUAGAUGAAAUUAAAAACUAAUUGCAUAGUUUUGUUGUACUUUGCGAGACGAAUCUUUUGAGCCUAAUUAGUCAAUAUUUGGACAAUAAUUCACAAAUACAAACGAAACGCUACAGUGUGCUACAGUGCUGUAGCAGUAAUUUGGCACCUCCCAAAUUCCCCAACUAAACACGGCCUUAGCUCAAGGGUUCGAGGGUUCGUGCUCGAUUAGACUAAUGAUGGCACACUACAAGGGAUUAAACUAGCUACUUGCUAUUACUAGAUUAUAUAAACGCUGUGUACAAUGGUGACUGAUGCUCGCUAGGUCAAUGCG
rnacentral:lncRNA from 1 species